UGAUUUGAUGAGUGUGUUCUU
rnacentral:piRNA from 1 species